rnacentral:tRNA from 1 species
GGAUAAGUGACUGAGUUGGUUUAAAGUGUUAGUUUUGAAAAUUAUUGUAUUUUAUUUAAAUACCAUGGGUUCAAAUCCCAUCUUAUCCU